rnacentral:snoRNA from 12 species
GUGCAGGAUAAGUUACAAUACAGCUUGUGUGGUGCUGUUUUGUCGUUCCCCCUGCAGACAUUAAUCUGUUUCCUCGCUAUCCCUGUCUGUCAACAUCCCCUGACUGCCGGGGACGUAAGGUUUCAGACAC